rnacentral:tRNA from 1 species
UGGCAUGUAGCUCAGUGGUAGAGCACUUGCUUAGCAUCCAUGAGGCCCUGGAUUCAAUUCCUAGUGCCAU